rnacentral:snoRNA from 1 species
CUGCUUUUAAGGUUUCCUAGACAUGCAAGAGAACAUGUCCUCGUGCUUUCUGUCUGUCUGCUUGUGGCAGCCUAGCUUGAAUAGGGGAAUACAGUA